UACGAAGGGGGCUAGCGUUGUUCGGAAUCACUGGGCGUAAAGCGCACGCAGGCGGAUUGAUAAGUCGGGGGUGAAAUCCCGGGGCUCAACCUCGGAAUUGCCUUCGAUACUGUCUGUCUUGAGUCCGGGAGAGGUGAGUGGAAUUUCUAGUGUAGAGGUGAAAUUCGUAGAUAUUAGGAAGAACACCAGUGGCGAAGGCGGCUCACUGGCCCGGUACUGACGCUCAUGUGCGAAAGCGUGGGGAGCAAACAGG
rnacentral:rRNA from 1 species